rnacentral:lncRNA from 1 species
AUGUUAUUCGUGUCUCCCAACAACUGGAAAGAUCUGUCGCCAUUUCUCCAAAUCUCUCUUUGGCCCUCUCUUUCUCCCACAAGUCCCUUAGAGGUUUUGGCUUCUCUUCAAUCUCUUUUUCCUUCCGGUUCCUCAGACUCAGUAAUUCCCAUUGUCUCUCCAGAUUGCCUACCCUCCCUCCCCCCUGCCCAGCCUGUCCUGCCCAUCCCCCCGGUGUCGGGGUGUCCUCCCCGGGAAGGCCCCCCUGCCCAGCCUGUCCUGCCCAUCCCCCGGGUGUCGGGGCGCCCUCCCCGGGAAGGCCCCCCUUCCCAGCCUGUCCUGCCCAUCCCUCGGGUGUCGGGGUGCCCUCUCCAGCUGGCCCCCCUGCCCAGCUUGUUCUGCCCAUUCCUUGAGUGUCGGGGCACCUUCUCCAGCUGGCCCCCUGACCAGCUGGCCUCCCCAUGUGCCCCCUCCAGGCCGAAGCACUCACCCUCUGAGUGUCGGGGGGCCCGUCUCCUCCCGCGGGGCUCCACGUGGAAGUCUGCCUUCUUGUUGGUGUUCUUGAUCUGCGUGGCCCCGAUGACGCUGACGGAGACGUCCUUCUCGCGCCGGCCCCCGGGUGUCGGGGCGCCCUCCCCGGGAAGGCCCCCCUUCCCAGCCUGUCCUGCCCAUCCCUCGGGUGUCGGGGUGCCCUCUCCAGCUGGCCCCCCUGCCCAGCUUGUUCUGCCCAUUCCUUGAGUGUCGGGGCACCUUCUCCAGCUGGCCCCCUGACCAGCUGGCCUCCCCAUGUGCCCCCUCCAGGCCGAAGCACUCACCCUCUGAGUGUCGGGGGGCCCGUCUCCUCCCGCGCAGAGACCUGUGGCGGGCGGUGUGGGGUGC